AGCGUCGGUGAGGUGAUAUGAACCGUUAUAACCGGCGAUUUCCGAAUGGGGAAACCCAGUGUGUUUCGACACACUAUCAUUAACUGAAUCCAUAGGUUAAUGAGGCGAACCGGGGGAACUGAAACAUCUAAGUACCCCGAGGAAAAGAAAUCAACCGAGAUUCCCCCAGUAGCGGCGAGCGAACGGGGAGGAGCCCAGAGCCUGAAUCAGUGUGUGUGUUAGUGGAAGCGUCUGGAAAGGCGCGCGAUACAGGGUGACAGCCCCGUACACAAAAAUGCACAUAUUGUGAGCUCGAUGAGUAGGGCGGGACACGUGGUAUCCUGUCUGAAUAUGGGGGGACCAUCCUCCAAGGCUAAAUACUCCUGACUGACCGAUAGUGAACCAGUACCGUGAGGGAAAGGCGAAAAGAACCCCGGCGAGGGGAGUGAAAAAGAACCUGAAACCGUGUACGUACAAGCAGUGGGAGCCUCUUAAUGGGGUGACUGCGUACCUUUUGUAUAAUGGGUCAGCGACUUAUAUUCUGUAGCAAGGUUAACCGAAUAGGGGAGCCGAAGGGAAACCGAGUCUUAACUGGGCGUUAAGUUGCAGGGUAUAGACCCGAAACCCGGUGAUCUAGCCAUGGGCAGGUUGAAGGUUGGGUAACACUAACUGGAGGACCGAACCGACUAAUGUUGAAAAAUUAGCGGAUGACUUGUGGCUGGGGGUGAAAGGCCAAUCAAACCGGGAGAUAGCUGGUUCUCCCCGAAAGCUAUUUAGGUAGCGCCUCGUGAAUUCAUCUCCGGGGGUAGAGCACUGUUUCGGCAAGGGGGUCAUCCCGACUUACCAACCCGAUGCAAACUGCGAAUACCGGAGAAUGUUAUCACGGGAGACACACGGCGGGUGCUAACGUCCGUCGUGAAGAGGGAAACAACCCAGACCGCCAGCUAAGGUCCCAAAGUCAUGGUUAAGUGGGAAACGAUGUGGGAAGGCCCAGACAGCCAGGAUGUUGGCUUAGAAGCAGCCAUCAUUUAAAGAAAGCGUAAUAGCUCACUGGUCGAGUCGGCCUGCGCGGAAGAUGUAACGGGGCUAAACCAUG
rnacentral:rRNA from 1 species